AACGCGAAGAACCUUACCAAGGCUUGACAUCCCAGGAAUCCGCUAGAAAUAGUGGAGUGCCUUCGGGAAUCUGGUGACAGGUGCUGCAUGGCCGUCGUCAGCUCGUGUCGUGAGAUGUUGGGUUAAGUCCCGCAACGAGCGCAACCCUUGUCGUAUGUUGUAUUUUUCAUACGAGACUGCCCGGGCCAACCGGGAGGAAGGUGAGGAUGACGUCAGGUCAGCAUGGCCCUUACGCCUUGGGCUACACACGUCAUACAAUGGCCGGUACAACGCGUUGCCAACCCGCGAGGGGGAGCUAAUCGCACCAAAACCGGUCCCAGUUCGGAUUGGAGGCUGCAACUCGCCUCCAUGAAGUUGGAUUUGCUAGUAACCGUGGGUCAGCAUACCGCGGUGAAUACGUUCCCGGGCCUUGUA
rnacentral:rRNA from 2 species